GGGACAUUUCUUGAAUUAGUGAUCUCUUUGUAAUUCCACUCAACAAAAGCAAGUUACAAGAAAAUGUUGUUGGAAUGAUAUUGCAGCAUUUGACCGUCUAUACAACUUACAAACAAAAUGUGUAUAUUUCAAUGGUCGGCUUGACAGUUCACCAAACAAUUGAAUUCCGACAUUCCUAAGUCCUAACACAUGUAGUUUACAAUAUGUUUUUUUUUUCUUUUUUCACGGCACAACUAAUAAUAGCCUCCCAAUCUAUGAAAUUAAGAAGAAAUACAAAGAGCAAAACAAGUAGUCGUGGGGGUGAGAUUCUUGCCAGCUUGGUAAUAGUAAACUUUGCAGAACCCUCAGAUCCCAAGGCCAUCACAUCAUGGUCACCCUCACCGUCGUUCUUCCUGCCUUUGCCCAAUUUCAUUUGCAGCAUCGCUCCAUCCUCUGAUCCUUCUCUGCACCACGGCAACUGCUAAACACAGCAACUGAAGCUCCAUUAGAAACAAAAGAAAGCAGAUGAUCAAACAGAAAAGAGAUAGUAAUACAGAAGCUUAAAUUCUUAGCAGAUAUGAUGGGCUCUUAGGCACGCUGAGGGGAUCAGUGAAGGGCGAGAUCCAUCGGGGAGCUCCCUUCAGUCCAAUGGGCGGCAAAGUGAGCGACAGGAGUUGCUCCCACACCAUGCAUUGGCUAAGCUUAACAUUUCUAUGCCUCGCAUCAGACCUGUUGUUGAAUUCUUGCUCACCAUAGUAUCCAUCACCUUACCUUGCAAAGAGAGAAAAAAAAGAGAAUACUUAAGCAUAACCGAAUGCAUGAGAUGGCAGCUCUAGCCGCUCCCCAGCCUCGCGUCUUGGACCGAAGGGAGCUCCUCUUCUCUUUCCCCUCCUCCUCCUACUAGAUGGUGAUCAGGCAGGCAUGUCUACCUGAUAUAUAUAUUAUAUAUAUAUACACGAGAGAAUCAAGAAUGGAUGGACCCUGGACCAUAAAGUUUUGUGGGAAAAAAAGAUGGGGCCUCCUCCGGCCUCCCUAAGACCCUUUUUGGUUUCUUAUAUAGAGGUGGGGCGGUUUUCACUUUCACCGAGAUUUCAGGCUGGAGAAGGAUUAUAGAAUUUCCGACCACAAUAUCCCUUUUUUCCUUCUUACUAUUUCUUAACCAAAAGUGCAUGUGGUCGUAUUUGAUCUGCUAUCUCUAGGUACAUGCAUACAAAUUAGUCAAUAGAAUUAAAUGCAUCAGAUUACUUCAACCUACUGAUGAUAAGUGACUUCAAUAAUUCAUUCCAGCAACAAACAAUUCAAACUUUACCCAUCUAUGACUUGCUUAGACACGCACACACACACCUGAUUGGCUGAUUCCCAACUCAAUAUGGUAAUGACUUAAUUUUACUUUGACCAAACUGGUUAAUUUUUUAUCUCGCUACCUUUCCACCUCUAUCAGUUUGGAGUAUCUGAUGCAUUUGCAAUUUAUAUACAUAUUUAUAUAC
rnacentral:lncRNA from 1 species